GACGAACGCUGGCGGCGUGCUUAACACAUGCAAGUCGAACGCUGAAGCCUAGCUUGCUGGGUGGAUGAGUGGCGAACGGGUGAGUAACACGUGAGUAACCUGCCCUCUUCUUUGGGAUAACGCCCGGAAACGGGUGCUAAUACUGGAUAUUCACUGAUCUUCGCAUGGGGGUUGGUGGAAAGGUUUUUUCUGGUGGGGGAUGGGCUCGCGGCCUAUCAGCUUGUUGGUGGGGUGAUGGCCUACCAAGGCUUUGACGGGUAGCCGGCCUGAGAGGGUGACCGGUCACAUUGGGACUGAGAUACGGCCCAGACUCCUACGGGAGGCAGCAGUGGGGAAUAUUGCACAAUGGGCGAAAGCCUGAUGCAGCGACGCCGCGUGAGGGAUGGAGGCCUUCGGGUUGUAAACCUCUUUCGCUCAUGGUCAAGCCGCAACUUAGGGUUGUGGUGAGGGUAGUGGGUAAAGAAGCGCCGGCUAACUACGUGCCAGCAGCCGCGGUAAUACGUAGGGCGCGAGCGUUGUCCGGAAUUAUUGGGCGUAAAGGGCUUGUAGGCGGUUGGUCGCGUCUGCCGUGAAAUCCUCUGGCUUAACUGGGGGCGUGCGGUGGGUACGGGCUGACUUGAGUGCGGUAGGGGAGACUGGAACUCCUGGUGUAGCGGUGGAAUGCGCAGAUAUCAGGAAGAACACCGGUGGCGAAGGCGGGUCUCUGGGCCGUUACUGACGCUGAGGAGCGAAAGCGUGGGGAGCGAACAGG
rnacentral:rRNA from 1 species